rnacentral:rRNA from 1 species
CCCCUAGUAACGGCGAGUGAAGAGGGAAAAGCUCAAAUUUUGAAUCUGGUGUCUUUGACUCCCGAGUUGUAAUCUAGAGAAGUGUUUUCCGUGUCGGACCGUGCACAAGUUCCCUGGAACGGGGCGUCAUAGAGGGUGAGAAUCCCGUAUAUGGCACGGACUGCCGAUGCUCUGUGAUACACUCUCAACGAGUCGAGUUGUUUGGGAAUGCAGCUCAAAAUGGGUGGUAAAUUCCAUCUAAAGCUAAAUAUUGGCGAGAGACCGAUAGCGAACAAGUACCGUGAGGGAAAGAUGAAAAGCACUUUGGAAAGAGAGUGAAACAGUACGUGAAAUUGUUGAAAGGGAAGCGUUUGAAGUCAGUCAUGUCUGGC